rnacentral:rRNA from 1 species
GAUGAACGCUGGCGGCGUGCUUAACACAUGCAAGUCGAACGAAGUGGCGAACGGGUGAGUAACACGUGAGUAACUGCCCUUAACUCUGGGAUAAGCCUGGGAAACUGGGUCUAAUACCGGAUAGUUUUGGAUGGACUCGCGGCCUAUCAGCUUGUUGGUGAGGUAAUGGCUCACCAAGGCGACGACGGGUAGCCGGCCUGAGAGGGGACCGGCCACACUGGGCUGAGACACGGCCCAGACUCCUACGGGAGGCAGCAGUGGGGAAUAUUGCACAAUGGGCGCAAGCCUGAUGCAGCGACGCCGCGUGAGGGAUGACGGCCUUCGGGUUGUAAACCUCUUUCAGUAGGGAAGCGGUACCUGCAGAAGAAGCACCGGCUAACUACGUGCCAGCAGCCGCGGUAAUACGUAGGGUGCGAGCGUUAUCCGGAAUUAUUGGGCGUAAAGAGCUCGUAGGCGGUUUGUCGCGUCUGUCGUGAAAGUCCGGGGCUUAACCCCGGAUCUGCGG